UCAAAGUAUAGAAACGCUCUCC
rnacentral:siRNA from 1 species